rnacentral:rRNA from 1 species
UACGUAGGGGGCUAGCGUUGUCCGGAAUCAUUGGGCGUAAAGCGCGUGUAGGCGGUUCGGUAAGUCCGCUGUGAAAGUCGGGGGCUCAACCCUCGGAUGCCGGUGGAUACUGUCGGGCUCGAGUACGGAAGAGGCGAGUGGAAUUCCUGGUGUAGCGGUGAAAUGCGCAGAUAUCAGGAGGAACACCAAUUGCGAAGGCAGCUCGCUGGGACGUUACUGACGCUGAGACGCGAAAGCGUGGGGAGCAAACAGG